UGUGUCUCUUCUGCGAAGCUGCACCCACCUCGUCUGUCUGGGGGUGGCAGCCCCAAAUCAGCUGAUGGAGUUCACGCACCCCUGUGCAGACGCAGCCUCCCCCAGGGCCUUUGGCUGCCGUACACCCUCAGGCUUGGUCCCUCUCAGCAGCCACUGAAUCAGACAGCUGCCCCAAGACCUGACUUGCACUGUACUCCUGCUGAAGUGACCCGUCUCAAGAUAUCUGGACGCAGGUCCCUGGAAGUCUUUGUCACAUAGAGUUGGGAAAACUCAGUCCAGGCCCUGAAAGAGUUUACUUUCUAACUGGCAGGGACCCCGCACUUAACGUCAGGAGCCCCCAGUGCCGAAUCCUGAAAAGAGUACUCGAAUGUGCAAAAGGGUGUCUCUCAGCACUUCAGGCAGCAAAGCGCUUUGCAGAGACAUGAACGCGAGUGUUUGCUGUGCGUGUGGGGCUGCUGGCACCGACGGGAGCUCAGGCUU
ensembl:lncRNA novel transcript